GAUGAACGCUGGCGGCGUGCCUAAUACAUGCAAGUCGAGCGAACAGACGAGGAGCUUGCUCCUUUGACGUUAGCGGCGGACGGGUGAGUAACACGUGGGUAACCUACCUAUAAGACUGGGAUAACUUCGGGAAACCGGAGCUAAUACCGGAUAAUAUUUUGAACCGCAUGGUUCGAUAGUGAAAGAUGGCUCUGCUAUCACUUAUAGAUGGACCUGCGCCGUAUUAGCUAGUUGGUAAGGUAACGGCUUACCAAGGCAACGAUACGUAGCCGACCUGAGAGGGUGAGCGGCCACACUGGAACUGAGACACGGUCCAGACUCCUACGGGAGGCAGCAGUAGGGAAUCUUCCGCAAUGGGCGAAAGCCUGACGGAGCAACGCCGCGUGAGUGAUGAAGGUCUUCGGAUCGUAAAACUCUGUUAUUAGGGAAGAACAAACGUGUAAGUAACUGUGCACGUCUUGACGGUACCUAAUCAGAAAGCCACGGCUAACUACGUG
rnacentral:rRNA from 1 species